rnacentral:rRNA from 1 species
GGCUCAGAAUCAACGCUGGCGGCGCGCUUAACACAUGCAAGUCGCACGAGAAAGUCCGCAAGGAUGAGUAAAGUGGCGCACGGGUGAGUAACACGUGGAUGAUCUACCCUUUAGUGGGGAAUAACCCUGGGAAACCGGGGCUAGUACCGCAUAAGUCCGAGAGGAGAAAGCCGAAAGGCGCUGGAGGAAGAGUCCGCGGUCGAUUAGCUAGUUGGCGGGGUAAAAGCCCACCAAGGCUGCGAUCGAUAGCCGGCCUGAGAGGGCACACGGCCACACUGGCACUGAAACACGGGCCAGACUCCUACGGGAGGCAGCAGUGGGGAAUCUUGCACAAUGGGGGAAACCCUGAUGCAGCGACGCCGCGUGAGCGAUGAAGCCCUUCGGGGUGUAAAGCUCUUUCGACGGGAACGAUAAUGACGGUACCCGGAGAAGAAGCUGCGGCUAACUACGUGCCAGCAGCCGCGGUAAUACGUAGGCAGCGAGCGUUGUUCGGAAUUACUGGGCGUAAAGAGUGCGUAGGCGGUGCUCUAAGUUUGGUGUGAAAUCUCCCGGCUUAACCGGGAGGGUGCGCCGAAGACUGGAGUGCUUGAGUGUGGGAGAGGAAAGCGGAAUUCCUGGUGUAGCGGUGAAAUGCGUAGAUAUCAGGAGGAACACCUGCGGUGUAGACGGCUUUCUGGACCACGACUGACGCUGAGGCACGAAAGCGUGGGUAGCAAACAGGAUUAGAUACCCUGGUAGUCCACGCCCUAAACGAUGCAUACUUGGUGUGGGCAGUUCAUUCUGUCCGUGCCGGAGCUAACGCGUUAAGUAUGCCGCCUGGGGAGUACGGUCGCAGGGCUGAAACU